rnacentral:rRNA from 1 species
AGUGAACGCUGGCGGUAGGCCUAACACAUGCAAGUCGAACGGCAGCACAGAAGAGCUUGCUCUUACGGGUGGCGAGUGGCGGACGGGUGAGGAAUACAUCGGAAUCUACUUUUUCGUGGGGGAUAACGUAGGGAAACUUACGCUAAUACCGCAUACUACCUACGGGUGAAAGCAGGGGAUCUUCGGACCUUGCUCGAUUGAAUGAGCCGAUGUCGGAUUAGCUAGUUGGCGGGGUAAAGGCCCACCAAGGCCACGAUCCGUAGCUGGUCUGAGAGGAUGAUCAGCCACACUGGAACUGAGACACGGUCCAGACUCCUACGGGAGGCAGCAGUGGGGAAUAUUGGACAAUGGGCGCAAGCCUGAUACAGCCAUACCGCGUGGGUGAAGAAGGCCUUCGGGUUGUAAAGCCCUUUUGUUGGGAAAGAAAAGCAGCAGGUUAAUACCCCGCUGUUCUGACGGUACCCAAAGAAUAAGCACCGGCUAACUUCGUG